rnacentral:rRNA from 1 species
UACGUAGGGGGCAAGCGUUGUCCGGAAUUAUUGGGCGUAAAGAGCGUGUAGGCGGUCCGGUAAGUCCGCUGUGAAAGUCCAGGGCUCAACCCUGGAAUGCCGGUGGAUACUGUCGGGCUAGAGUCCGGAAGAGGCGAGUGGAAUUCCUGGUGUAGCGGUGAAAUGCGCAGAUAUCAGGAGGAACACCAAUAGCGAAGGCAGCUCGCUGGGACGGUACUGACGCUGAGGCGCGAAAGCGUGGGGAGCGAACAGG